AUUAGCUGCCACAUUUUUGCAGAACAUGGAACGUUUCGAAAUAUUGGUCUUGAUAAUGUCCGUGCCUCUAAUAACUGCCGCCCCACAAGGUCCAAUUCAAUGUUUCCAGCAACCUCAAUACCAACCUCAAGGCUACCAAUCUCGCAGCUACCAACUUCAACACCAACCUCAAGGCUACCAAUCACGCAGCUACCAACUUCAACACUACCAGCAACAACCACAGUCCAUACCGAGUGAACAAAGUUUUGACCCAGUGUUCGGCAUAGGUUCAUUGCUAAAGAUGCCUAUUGUUGAAAUUA